rnacentral:rRNA from 1 species
AUGGCUCGCAGCCGCGGAUCCAGCGGUUGCAGGAGCGGCAGCCCUCGGCCUGGCGCGGGGCGGCCUCACCACAGCGGUCCGUCCCCUGCCUCGGCCCGCUGGCCCCCCUCCCCGAGCACGCGGUCUUCAGAUCCGGCGGCUCCGCCGCGAAUCCUGCUCCGGGGAGUGGCAUCCAACCCAGCUCCACCCUUCGGACCGCGGGGCACGCCUGCGCCUCUCCUUCCCGAAGGUCUGCAACGCCUUAAAUCCAUAGUAGUCGCCCCGGUAAGUCAGCUCUGCAUUUCCCACUCCGAGGAAGAAGAGCGAUGGAUGGCAGUCAGAUUGCGGAAAAACCGGCGGGCUGGGGAGGGCACGUCGGGCAAUGGCGCGCGCCGCCAGGCUCUCCGCUCGGACCAGUCUCGCGGGAGCACCUCCUCCAAGGGGCGGGAGGCCUUUUUAAGCCGCUUCAAGGGCAAGUGUUUCCGUUGUCUGAGCAAGCUCCACCGCCGCAAAGAUUGUCGUGACCCUCUCCGAUGCAUCAUCUGUGAGCUGCAAGGUCACUUCGGCCGAGAGUGCCCGCAGAACCCUCGCAACGGCGGCCCAGGAGGGGCCGUCCACGCCAGAAUCCGUCCGCCUCAACCCCGGAUCCCGGUGCGGGAGCGCCUCUGUUUCGACCCGCCGCUCCCCUCCCCUGCCGCGGCCAUCCUUGCUCCCGCCGCGGCCAUGGAGCGCUCCUACCACACCGACCCGUCCAGAAGGCCACGCUCGAGCAACAAGAUGGUGGUCUCCUCUCCGGCCAUCGAGCACGCGGAGUACAUCCUGCGCUAG